CCUCCUUCAAGAAUGACUGCCCGCAGACCGAAGGGGUCGGGCUUCCCUUCUCUCUUUGUUGGGACUGAGCUUGCAGGGCCAGGGUGCGGGGACCAUGGAAGGCUCUAGGCGGCGCCCCUCUCGGGGGUUGGGCAUGCUCACGGUGGCCAGGAGGCAGGCGAGAAAGAAGAAGCCAGCCACGCAGAGGAAGAAAUAAGCAACAGGAGCAACAUUGGGCUGUAUGACCAGCAGAGCCAGCCCCAGGAGGAGGGAGGCGCUGCUCAGGAAGAGAAAUGGCUGCUUCAGUUUCCCCCACAACUGCCCUGGCACCAUGGCCCCUCCCAGGGCACCUGCAGAAAGACACACCAGCUAUGUGUUAAGGAGCAGUUGGCAUCACAGCAGAGCAACACACCAAAGGGUCAUCAGUUUGCCCAACCAGAGACCAUGAACAUGCUGCAGAAAUCCAUAGUCUCCUUGGAUACACUUGGAACAUGCCAUCAAAAUUACUUUGUAUUUUAUUCCUUAUCAGUAUGUAAAUACUGUUUUAUUAUGAGUUAUUAAAAUACAUAAAAUAAUUUCACAAUGAAUGUCCAUGUACUCACCACAUAUUUUUACAACCAACAUUAUAUUAUAGUGCUUUAUUCCAUGCCGUUUUCCAAUGCACCUUCCUUUUCAAUACAUUUCAAAGGGAUCUGAAGACAGUGCAACACUUCUGCCUAAAUACUUCAGCAUAAAGUGAGUUUAGUAUUUGUCUGCAGUAAUUUUUUCCUUUGAAGUAAAAUUUGCCUUCCGUGAGACACAUUUUAAGAGGGCCAUUCCCUAAAUUAAAACAAUUAUUUUAUUUAUUAUUUUUAUUUUAUGUGUAUGAGUGUUUUGCCUGCAUGUAUGUAAGUGCACCAUGUGAAUGUAAUGCCUGUAGAGGCCAGAGGA